GGUGAACGCUGGCGGCGUGCUUAAGACAUGCAAGUCGAACGGGCUCUUCGGAGCCAGUGGCGCACGGGUGAGUAACGCGUAACUGACCUACCCCAAAGUCGCGGAUAACGAUUCGAAAGAAUCGCUAAUACGUGAUGUGCUGCUCCCUCGUGUGGGAUCAGUAAAGAUUGAUUGCUUUGGGAUGGGGUUGCGUUCCAUCAGCUAGUUGGUGGGGUAAAGGCCCACCAAGGCGACGACGGAUAGCCGGCCUGAGAGGGUGGCCGGCCACAGGGGCACUGAGACACGGGUCCCACUCCUACGGGAGGCAGCAGUUAGGAAUCUUCCACAAUGGGCGAAAGCCUGAUGGAGCGACGCCGCGUGAGGGAUGAAGGUCUUCGGAUCGUAAACCUCUGAAUCAGGGACGAAAGACACUUUAUGUGGGAUGACGGUACCUGAGUAAUAGCACCGGCUAACUCCGUGCCAGCAGCCGCCGUAAAAC
rnacentral:rRNA from 1 species